rnacentral:tRNA from 1 species
GGGGAUUUAGCUUAGUUGGUAAAGUGUUUGCCUCAUAUGCACAAGGGCAUGGGCAAUCCCCA